AUCAGCCUCCCUGGUGAGUUUGGAGCUUCUCCCUGCAUCCUGUUCCUGGAUGCUGCUGCUUGAUUUGGGCUCAGUUUCUGUUUUAGAGACUCUUUGCUGGACUUCGUCCGUGUGGCUGCCUCCAGUGCUGGUGAUGGACCGAGGUGUCGCCUGCUGCUCCACCAGAACACAUCUGUCUCCAUACAGGCCAUCAGUCAGCAGCUGGGUGUUGGGAUUGUGAGCAAUGGCAAACAAAGGAAGAGCAAAGAAAUUGGAUGCUAAAGCCGUACUGGAAGUGUGAAAAUGCCACGCAGGU